GUCGAGCGGUAGAGAGGUGCUUGCACCUCUUGAGAGCGGCGGACGGGUGAGUAAUGCCUAGGAAUCUGCCUGGUAGUGGGGGAUAACGCUCGGAAACGGACGCUAAUACCGCAUACGUCCUACGGGAGAAAGCAGGGGACCUUCGGGCCUUGCGCUAUCAGAUGAGCCUAGGUCGGAUUAGCUAGUUGGUGGGGUAAUGGCUCACCAAGGCGACGAUCCGUAACUGGUCUGAGAGGAUGAUCAGUCACACUGGAACUGAGACACGGUCCAGACUCCUACGGGAGGCAGCAGUGGGGAAUAUUGGACAAUGGGCGAAAGCCUGAUCCAGCCAUGCCGCGUGUGUGAAGAAGGUCUUCGGAUUGUAAAGCACUUUAAGUUGGGAGGAAGGGCAUUAACCUAAUACGUUAGUGUUUUGACGUUACCGACAGAAUAAGCACCGGCUAACUCUGUGCCAGCAGCCGCGGUAAUACAGAGGGUGCAAGCGUUAAUCGGAAUUACUGGGCGUAAAGCGCGCGUAGGUGGUUCGUUAAGUUGGAUGUGAAAUCCCCGGGCUCAACCUGGGAACUGCAUUCAAAACUGUCGAGCUAGAGUAUGGUAGAGGGUGGUGGAAUUUCCUGUGUAGCGGUGAAAUGCGUAGAU
rnacentral:rRNA from 1 species